CCCAGAUAUACAAAUUAAAUACGAUCUUCAUAACAGGGAACUCUAUACAUAUCUCAGAGUGAAACAUAUUUUAAUGAAACUUCAAGUGAAGGAGGUGGAAAAUUCUAGGGUGAAUGAUUUUGGGAGGCUAUGUUUGGGGAGACGACCCCAAAAUAAGCCUCUAUCAAUAAGCUACAGAGGAAUAUUAAAUAUAGCAAAACCAGAGAAACUGCCUUUUAUGUUAAAUUGGGAGAAGGAGCUAAAC